UACGUAGGUGGCAAGCGUUGUCCGGAAUUACUGGGCGUAAAGAGCUCGUAGGCGGCUUGUCACGUCGGAUGUGAAAGCCCGGGGCUUAACCCCGGGUCUGCAUUCGAUACGGGCUAGCUAGAGUGUGGUAGGGGAGAUCGGAAUUCCUGGUGUAGCGGUGAAAUGCGCAGAUAUCAGGAGGAACACCGAUGGCGAAGGCAGCUCGCUGGGACGGUACUGACGCUGAGGCACGAAAGUGUGGGGAUCAAACAGG
rnacentral:rRNA from 1 species